GAUGAACGCUGGCGGCGUACCUAAUACAUGCAAGUCGAGCGAACAGACGAGGAGCUUGCUCCUUCGACGUUAGCGGCGGACGGGUGAGUAACACGUAGGUAACCUACCUAUAAGACUGGGAUAACUUCGGGAAACCGGAGCUAAUACCGGAUAAUAUUUCGAACCGCAUGGUUCGAUAGUGAAAGAUGGCUUUGCUAUCACUUAUAGAUGGACCUGCGCCGUAUUAGCUAGUUGGUAAGGUAACGGCUUACCAAGGCAACGAUACGUAGCCGACCUGAGAGGGUGAUCGGCCACACUGGAACUGAGACACGGUCCAGACUCCUACGGGAGGCAGCAGUAGGGAAUCUUCCGCAAUGGGCGAAAGCCUGACGGAGCAACGCCGCGUGAGUGAUGAAGGUCUUCGGAUCGUAAAACUCUGUUAUUAGGGAAGAACAAACGUGUAAGUAACUGUGCACGUCUUGACGGUACCUAAUCAGAAAGCCACGGCUAACUACGUG
rnacentral:rRNA from 1 species